GCAUGAGCAUUUAGUCAGGUGGUGAAGGAUGAUUAUUCUAGCCAGAACCCAAAAGGUACUGUUUUGGUGUGAAUUACUUUUUGAGGAUGGUAGGAAGAAAAUCCUGCAAUUUUGUUUUCCUAAAUUAUUUUGUUUGCAUGUAAAAGUAAUCAUUUUUUUUUAAUCAUGUGAAUUUAUUUAUAUGGAGAGUUUCCCAUUUUCCUUUUUUUGGACAACUCUCAAACGAUUGUUUUUUACUGUUUUGCAAAUUGCCAUAAAAAG
rnacentral:misc_RNA from 1 species